rnacentral:rRNA from 1 species
AUGAACGCUGGCGGCGUGCCUAAUACAUGCAAGUCGCACGGGGAGUAGCAAUACUCUUAGUGGCGAACGGGUGAGUAACGCGUUGGUACCUGCCCCGAAGCGGGGGAUAACGGACCGAAAGGUCCGCUAAUACCCCAUGUGCUCGGUAACGAGUAAAGGUGAAAACCACUUUGGGAGGGGCCUGCGUCCCAUCAGCUAGUUGGUAAGGUAACGGCUUACCAAGGCGAUGACGGGUAGGGGACCUGAGAGGGUGGCCCCCCACAAUGGAACUGAAACACGGUCCAUACACCUACGGGUGGCAGCAGUAGGGAAUAUUGGUAAUGGGCGCAAGCCUGAACCAGCAACGCCGCGUGUGCGAUGACGGCCUUCGGGUUGUAAAGCACUUUUGACUGGGACGAGGAAGGACGGUACCGGUCGAAUCAGCCUCGGCUAACUACGUG